UACAGAGGUCUCAAGCGUUGUUCGGAUUCAUUGGGCGUAAAGGGUGCGUAGGCGGCGCGGUAAGUCGGGUGUGAAAUCUCGGAGCUUAACUCCGAAACUGCAUUCGAUACUGCCGUGCUUGAGGACUGGAGAGGAGACUGGAAUUUACGGUGUAGCGGUGAAAUGCGUAGAUAUCGUAAGGAAGACCAGUGGCGAAGGCGGGUCUCGUGGACAGUUCCUGACACUGAGGCACGAAGGCCAGGGGGAGCAAAACGGG
rnacentral:rRNA from 1 species